rnacentral:rRNA from 1 species
AGCCUUAAGGUAUUAGACUAUAUUUAAGGUGAAACCUGCCCAGUGCUAUUUUGUAAACGGCCGCAGUACCUUGACUGUGCGAAGGUAGCAUAAUCAUUUGGCUUUUAAAUGGAGUCGGGUAUGAAUGGGAAAAUGUGGCUAAGCUGUCUCCUUUUUAUUUAAUUUAAUUUACUUAGUAGGUGAAAAUUCCUACUUAUCUAAGAAAAAAGACGAGAAGACCCUAGGAGUUUUUAUUAAGGCUGUGUUUUGACAGUGCCAUUUUUGUUGGGGCAACAAAAGGAAAGUAAAUUGAUCUCCUUUUUAUAAUUGGCCGACUUUAGUAAGAGAAAUUAAACUACCCUAGGGAUAACAGCGUAAUCCGUUAUUGGGUUUGCGACCUCGAUGUUGGACUAGGAAUCAUUUAGGCUAGCCGCCUAAAUAGAAAUGUUCUGUUCGAACUUAAACUCCU